GCUUCCCUCGGCUAUUUUAGGACAGGUUAGGGACCAGUACUGGGGGGCGGUUUAUUAUGUGAAAAAAGGUCAGAAGUUUGCCUGCUUGCUCGAACCAGCAAAAUCUGUUUUUAAUCCAUGAAAAUACACCAAAACACCAUUCUUGGAGAAAAAGUGAUGAUGGAGUCAAAAUGACUGCUUUGCUUCUGCUGUAUGUAUCUUGGAGCUGGAUUUUUCUGUGAAGUCUGUGGAAGCUUGUUACCACGUUAAAUGCCCAGCUUUCAUUAAAUCUAAACCUGAAGGAAACAUGGAAGAGUGUUUGCCAACUACAAUAGAAAAUCUCUAAAAGCCUAGAUAUGCCCUAAGCAGCAGAGCGCAGAGGUGGGCUGUGGGCUUCCAGCAACUUACCGCUGCCAGGGAGGAUGGGAGCGUGGGCAGCUAGCUCCGCAGAAGCCGUGGUCCUGACAGCACCUGGUGUAUUCGAACCACCCCUCUCACCCCACGCACCCACUGGUCAUGUGAAUUUUCAGCCCACCCAGCUUGACUGAGCAUUUCUGUCUGGAAGCAUCUUGGGAGCAGCUUUCUUCUGAGGUACCUGGUACUUGCUGCUUUUGCUUGAGCAUCCUAGAAAUUCAGGGGUCAUCUUAACUUCAAAGUGCCCACAGCAACCCCCUGUUCAGGAUCCAGGAGUAAUCCUUCACCGCAGGAAUAAGGUGGACUUCGGCGACAGCCGCCGAAAUGCCAAGAUCACACAUUCCCAGCGCCCUGCCCUGCCAGCGGCGGGAGGAAACUCCAGUUUAUGUUAAUAAGGUGUGGAGGGUGGCCAAAAUAUUUUGUGAGUUUUCCGGCUUGAAAGGGUAAUGAAGCUACCUCUGUCUCAGUACGUUGGCACGGGAGCAAGCUAAACAACUGGGAAAUGUGUUUCAAAGGAGAAAUACAGAGCACAAACUCCCCGGGUUUUGCACUUCCACUGGGGGCUGAGCUUUGCCUCCUUCCACCUUUUUUCCAGGCUGGCGGCUCCCCUUCGCACAAAAAGAGGGAUGGAUGGGGGAGGGCGAGUGAGCUGUUUCUACGGAUUAGCUUCAGGCAGCUCUCACCAGACUGAACGUUACACUCAAAAGCAUUUCUUAGUUUAUACCAAAAUAAUGAAUUGUUUAGUACGUAAAGUAAACCCAGAAAGUUGUUCCUGUAAAUUUGGUAUAAAAUCUACCUAUUUAUUAGCUUUGAGCAAAAGAAACCUCCACGCUGCUGCGAGCACGGUCAGAUUCUUUGGGCGCGCUUCAAAAAGCUCGCUCUUUUUGUCAUUCCUCUCUGACCUCCUCCCUGCUAGUCCCGGGAUGAAAAGCAAGCCAAAGAUCUGCUGAGAAAUGGGCCGAGCCACUGCUGACCUUUGCAAAUCCAAUUUCUUCAAAGCGAGAGCUAAUCGACGUGUUCCCACGCUGUGUAUUGCUGAAACGUACGAUGCAAUUCAAGGAAUGAAUUCACCAUGGUGCAAUCUCAUUUUGAAUCCAGUUUUCUUGCUAUGUGUCAGAGGGUGAAGGAGGCAGAGUGUGGUACAAGUUAUAAACAGCAGUCACACACAAGUUUCACAAACCACGUUAAGUCUGUCUUUGAAAGAUUUUGUACUUUGGAGGGGUUCUUUCCCUUAAAAUUUAAAAUGCAUUAGCCUACUCCCCUUCUACUUUCCUCCCCCUCCAAAACAGAGAGACAUUUUGUAGUGAUUUAAAAGAAAAAUAAGCCAAUGAGAGUUUGUACUGCAUAAUCUCCAAAUAGAAAAAAAAAAUAGCUCUCUGGGCGUAUUAUCUGAUGUGUAACUGAGGUUACACAUUGGAGAGAUGUGUCUGGGGAGAUUUGCAUGCACAGGAGCUGUAGGUGAAUGGGAUGAUGAUACAGGAAGAGCUUUAAAAUUCAUAUUUAAAAUUCAGAUUCUCUCUCUCACUUUGCAUAUCAGAUUUGGUACGAGUGCUAUUCCUGUUUUACAGCAGUGAGAGCGGUCCCCUCUGUGCGAAGUUUUGCAAUCUCUGCUAGGUACCACAGGUGUGCCUGCAGGAUCUGUGCAGGAGAAGCAUAUUGGCAUUCCUAACCUAAAUCUUAUAAUCUUGUUUCAACAGGUGCAUGGAGACUGGCCCCCUCCCUCUGUUUUCCAGAAGGAGCUGCUGUUUGUUUCCCGUGCAGCUGGCCAAACCCUGCCUGACCCCAGCGCCGGGUAGCCUGAUACACCCGACGUGAGCGAGCGGCGAUGCAGUGCAGCCUGCUUACGUGCCCCGAGCGGUGCCUGUUUGCAUAACGAUGCCACUUUUUGUCUGGGGCAAAAGGGACGGAAGAGGACUCUCAUUCCUCAUUCAGCUACUGUGGGGCAUAUGUCACGGGUAGCACAUCUCAAGCCAUUUCGUCAGCGCCAGAGAGAGGAGUUACGUCAUUCCCAGCAUGGGGUUGGGUUUGGUGUGCCUCUCUUGGGAGGCUGCCUGUCCAGCUGGGAAGCCGUGGCAUGGCAGGCAGCCGCCAAGCUGCUCCACUUUUGGUGCCUUACCACAGGCCUCCCGGCGCAUGGUGUAUCCCGCCAGUUUGGUCGUGUAGUAGAACCAGGGAUAUUGCGACCUAUUUAUUUAUUUCAUUAUCGUCUUCGUUGCACAAAUGUAAUUCCAUUAGAGCUGAUGUAAUGUAGAAUCAGGCCCUUGGGGUAAUGGGCUAAACUAUAUUCUGGCUGUGUAAGCUGAAGACUUUCAGAGGAAGCCUCAAUGCUCUCAUUUUUUGGUUGUCCUUAGCAGAGCAAAUGAAAAUAUAUCAUUGUUCUCAAGAUUGCUGAAUAAAGCAAGUCCUUUUUAAAAUUUUAUUUCCAUAGCCAUAAAUAGUAAAUUUCAUCCAUUCAUGACUGGUUUAUAAAAGAGUUUGCUAACUAACCAGAUCUGGAGAACUUUCUUUCUCAGCAAGUAUUGCAAUAAGAGAAUUGUUUGUGUUUUUGUUACUUUCCCAAUAUUUUUGUUGUUCUCUUUCCUAAGACAUGAUUAGAUUUUCCAGUCUUCUGGACAUCAAAGAUUUUGGAGAAGAGAUUGUAUAAACUGGAUAGGUAACAGCUGUUACCAGACGGAUUUACUGGUAGAAAGGGGAGAGGGCUAAUUUCUUUUAUGUGCUUCCUCCCACUGCUGGCACCUUUCACUGUGGCACACUGUUCCUGUCCUGUGACAGGGAAUAUCUUUGCACAGAGGGAGCCCUUGUCCACAGGAUUACACCUACCUUUGGAUUUCGCUGUUAUUUAUAAGUAACUUUUCCACAUGCCUUCAUCAUAGCUCUUUUACCUGCUGUUCCAGUAGUUUAUUAGAGAGAAAAGAAUAGGAGAGCAGCUCUAACUGUGGUAGUUAAUGGCACUGACUUAGAGAUUUUCACUUCUGAGCUUUUCAAGUCAGAAUUUUUGUUUGCUCCACUUCUGGACAUCUUAGGACACUUUAAAGUGGAUUUAUUUCUGUAAAAUAAAAAAUUGUACAGUGAAUUCCCCAAGAAAGGCCACACAGGACUGAAGCAGGGUUUCAGCUUGAAUAAAAACUGCAGUCUCUCUGCUGCACCCUCCCAUUUAACGUGGGAAUGAACAUUUGCAUGAAUCCUCUUUAUUUCCUCAUCUGGUGUAAAAUUCCUUGUAAAAUUCUUUAGGAAAGAUCUUGGAGGGGAAAUGCUGAUUUGUAGUAUUGCAAAGUACUAGCUGGUAAAAUAGAUUGUGUGCGUGUAUGACAACGUGAUUUUUGCAUAUUACCAUGCCAACAAUAUCUGAUCCCAUUCAGAUAACAGUAAAGCGACCUACAGCUUUGACCAGAUUCAAAGAAAGUCACACUACUUCUACUCUUUCUUAUUUUAGGUUUGAUCUACUUGCUUUCACAUUUGCAUGUUGUGUUUUAAAGUACCCACCCUCACGUUUUUCAAGCUUCAGCAAAAGACAGCACUUUCAAUAUUUAUUGUCUGCAAAAAAUGUCCUAUGAAUAUUCUAAGACAUCCAAUCUGAUCUAAAAAUUUAAGAGGGCCUGGCAACUAGUCUCCUUCUUCCUGAGGUAACCGGGAUGAAUACUUUUGAUCCUUCCCUGCUCUGAGCAACUUUAGAGUCUAUUGCUAUUGCAGGAGAAGAGACUCUGGCUUCACCCAGUUUGUGAGGAUCCUCAGACCUUUGCAAAAAUGCUCAGUUUCUCACAGAGUUUGACCCUUUUCUGAAAGCUGGCCUGGGGGCACUGGGCACCUCAUCUGGGAGAACACCACUGGAGCAGAUAAUUCAUGUCAAAGGCAGCUGGGCUGCUGUCGGAAGACUGAAUCCUGGCUGGAGAAGGACAGAACAGAAGCCAUGUCCAAAAAACCAUCUCUAAUGUGAUUUUGGGUUCUUUUUUUCAUUACGCUCUAGGCCUCAAUUAAUUUCAAACGUUUUUCUUCCGUCUCCUUCAUUUGCUCCCUGACUACUGCUCCAUAUAUUUAAAGCUAAUGACCCCGAAAAGAGAGGAAGUCCUUUUAAAAGAGCUACUGAGCUUUUGUGCUAAGCCCAGAAUAUUUUUUUCUGCACAACCAGUGGAGAAAUGAGAACAUCUCUGCCAGCUUCAAGGUGAAAUUCUCCAUCUUUAGUGAGUGUUUAGACUGCAAUCAAGAUGAAACUUCAAAGGCAAAACUACAGAGGAGGCUCACAGGCUAGGUGGGCAGUUUGCUGCAGGAGCAGGGAAAUAAGCCUUAUCCACUGCUCCUCUUGUAGUGGGAAUUUGCCAUUCAGCUGGCACUGUAAACACAGCAAAGAGGUUUUAUCACGAAGAAGAAGUCUGAAAAGGUGUCAGUUUGCAAAAUUGAAGGAGCUGGCAGGAUUUAAAUUCCAGAAACAAAACUGCUAUGAUAAUUGUUUUCCCUUUUGUUCAUUUUGUCUGAUUAUAGUCCAGAGCGAAAAAUAUUUCAGUAGCUUGCAAAGCUGGAAGCUAACCAGGUUAUCAAAAUGAGCUCCAGCUCACUGAGGGAUAGCAAGAAAUAUGUUUUUCUUCUUUAGGAUGUUGUUAAUAGUUUUGUAUUGCUUGCCAGCUUAUUAAAACUUUGAUUUGAUUUG